rnacentral:rRNA from 1 species
UGCGUAGGCGGAUUAAUAAGUCAGUGGUGAAAACCUGCAGCUUAACUGUAGACUUGCCAUUGAUACUGUUAGUCUUGAGUACGGUCAAGGUAGGCGGAAUGUGUAAUGUAGCGGUGAAAUGCUUUGAUAUUACACAGAACACCGAUUGCGAAGGCAGCUUACUGGGCCAUUACUGACGCUGAGGCACGAAAGCGUGGGGAGCGAACAGGAUUAGAUACCCUGGUAGUCC